rnacentral:lncRNA from 1 species
AGGCACACCUGGCAUUGAGCGCAAGGAAAACAUCUAAAACUUUCCCAUACUAAUUUCCUGAGGACUUGAACUACAUUUGUUAGAAGUUUUUUCGCAAUUAACAAGAAAUACUCGACAAAGACGGUCAACCAGACCACCAUCUCAUCUAGUUCGUUCAACUUCCACCGUUAAAACGAGGGUGAGGCAAGAAAAGGGAGAAAAGGAAGUGUGAAAAACUGCAAAAGAGACCGCAUACGAAGAUAGAUACACACGUCUCUCUGUGGUGGACUUGCUGUCCACAUGGUAAGCGUUUUUGAGUUGUUUAACUUUCUUUGAAUGAAUUGCUAUAGGGAUAAUGACCAGCUUUAACAGACUAAAUUGUCUUUCUAGAGUGAAAUGUUUUUUUUUGAAAUAAAUGUCUAAUCCCUUCACCCAUGUGCUUCUAAUCUUCACAGACUCCAUGAAUUGAUUUGGUCACAUGAUCAAUUUCUUUUGCCAUUUCCAAGCAACAGGGGGUGGCUUAACUUACCCUUUGGCUCAACUUACCACACUCUCCCCUAUUCAACAGAAGGAACUUUUAUUGCAAUUGGAGUGUGAAGUUUUGCUGUUUUAAUAUUACAAACAACUUUAAAUGGUGAAAAUUCAUCAUGCCUGGGGUUAAAUUCCAAGGAUUUGCCAUCCGUCCCCGCUUAUCACAUCCAAUAAUACAGUGUGUUCGGAAAAACAACCUGGAGGAGCUUGAAAAAUUAUUGGAGGAUAAAGGAACUGACCAUCUUUACCAGUGCAUCAAAUGUCAGGACUCAAUAACACCACUGAUUGCUGCUGUUUUAAGCCGCAAUAAGGAGAUAUGUACUUUUCUUUUGCUAAAAGGUGCAAACCCAAAUGUGGUUUCAAAAAAAGGCUUCACAGCUUUGCAUUAUGCCUUAAAAGAAAAAGCACCACUUUGGUUUGUGGAGAAGCUGAUUGAGGCAAAAGCUAAUCCAAACAUAGUUGGACCAAACAAUGGCUCAUGCUUACAAACUGCUGCUAUUUUGAACAGGGAGGACAUCUUUGAAAAGCUCAUUUCUGCAGGUGCAGUGGUAACAGUGUCACCCAUUACUGAACCUGAUAAAAUGUUUCAGAUGAUUCAUAACCUUGCACAAAAAGGGAAUGAGUUGUGCUCCAAAGUCAGCUGUUUUCUGGACUUGGAAAUUGCUAUAAGAGAUAAAACCUCUACAGAAGUGUUUGAAACCUUUCACAGUCACAUGCUGCAGGAGAAUCCUCAGUCUCAUCUAAUCAUGAUUGAGAUACUUUUGAAUGCAACAGGGAAAGAUGGAGAAAUGUAUCGCCAUAAGAGUAUCAAAUGGCUGAAAGAAACUGGCAAUGUGGAUGCUUAUAUUACAAGUGCAGCCAGUCGCUUUCCAAAGCUUAAGAAGAGUAUUCUACGUCAGGUUAUUGACACUUUGUAUCUUGUUCUGUGUAUUGUUGAAGAGAUACAAAAGGAGCAGGCCUGUAUCCUGAUCCCUUUACUACUGACAGAGCUUGGCCUGGGUAUGAUACCGGGUAAAUAUGAUAUUAUUCUGCAAACACUUUAUGUGAUAACACAGAAGACAAAAAUCAAAAAUGGCGGGGAUUCUCCCUUAACUGAGAAACUAUGUCGCUCAUUAGCUCCUUUUGCGCAGAGCAUACGCCCCAUUGACCAAAGGGUCUUCACAUACGGCAUAUUUGGAAACUUGCUCUCGUUUGAAAAUGGGGCUAGCGUCCUCAUAUCAGCAGGGAUAACUUCUGUGCCUGAUGAUAUCCUGACAUCUGCAGAAACGCAAAUGCUAAAAGAUCUUAAAGAAGUAAUCAGACGACUGAAAAGUCACCUGAAGAAACCAAACUCAGAAUGUGAAGACCUACAUGGAACAAAGAAAAAGGGGGAAAGGUCAGAGAGUCAAGAAGACCCAAACAAUGCUGAAGUCUCCACUUCUGCAACUGAGGUUACAGCAGCUGAGCCAUUAGAUAUUAAAACCUCUGCAUUGUCAACAAAACACAGAUGGUUUCCAGUCGGCAAGAGGUGGAGAGAAAAACUCCAGAAGCUGUCUGACGAAAGUAAAGUAAUCAGAGCAGGGAGCAUGAUUUACGUGAAUAGUGGAGAGUUUCGAAUUGCUAAGGGCAGCGAUGGUACAGAAGUGUUCUUGGGGCUCAGAGAUGACGGCACUGAAGUUGCUAUAAAGAGAAUGUCCAAGAGCAACUAUGAGGUCCUGAAGAAUGAGGAAGGGUUUCUACGACUUCCAGAACUGGAUCAUCCAUCUAUCGUGCGAUAUGUGGACUUUGCAGAGGAUGAGUACUUUGGAUAUCUUGGUCUCCAACUUUGUGAAUCCUCCCUCGAUGAACUCAUCACCAUCAAUAAAGAUGGUGGCUCACAGAAGGAAGAUCUUGUCCAUCAGGUCCUUGAGAGUUUGAGGGUGCUCCAUGGUCAAAAACCUCCAAUUCUCCACCGGGAUCUCAAACCACCAAAUGUUUUGAUUGGUAAGACAAGUUGAACAUAUAUUAAGAUUAUGUUUGAAAGUUGACCAUUUUAAGAGAUAAUUUUUUUUUUUGCAGAUGUUAAUGGAAGGGCAAGAUUAGCUGAUUUUGGCAUCAGUAGACAGUUACCCAAAGGCCAAACAACUUAUCGCACAGGGGCUGCUGGAACAAAGUGCUGGAAGGCCAAAGAGACCUUAGCAGAAGGAGAUGACAUACCAUACAAAUCCAGCACUGAUAUACAGGCAAGUUCUUUCACUCCCACUAAUUUGAUGACUUCUUGAAAAACCACUUCCUUAAUUGCUUUUGUAAAUCCUUAAGGUGGCAGGCAUGCUGAUUUAUUACAUCCUUUCUGGGGGACACCAUCCUUUUGGGGACAAAGCCUAUGAAUGUGAGUACAACAUUUCCAAAGGGACCUACAAUCUGGACCAUGUCAAAGAUAUGGUGGCAAAGGACCUCAUUGAGUGGAUGAUAAAUGAAGAUCCAAAGAAGAGACCCACGAUUGAAGAAUGUCUGAGCCAUCCUUUCUUUUGGAAAGCAGUGAGGUAAGAAAGAAAAGCUGGUGGACUGAUAAUUUUUUUUUUAUCUUAUUACAAAAAAUAUACAAGCAUUUGUAUCCAUGCAAGUUAACAGAUGUAGAAUGAGGAUAUUUAGUAAGAUUCUUGUAUGGGACAUUUCCUCGCCAAUCUCCCUAGUCACUGAGGCAAAAAGCUGAGAUGUGGUAUCAGCAUUAGGACUCUGAUUUAACAUACUUUUGCACAACACAUUGCAGAACAGGUUUGUGUUCAGGUUUUUCAAACAUCCAACAUGCAUUUUUGUUUUGAUUUUUAAGGAGAGUGGAGUAUUUGAGGAGGAUUGGAAACCAGGAAGAAGUGGCAAAGUUUAAAAACGCUGACCCAGUAUUUGUUUCCUCGAUGGAAAGAUGUGCGGGGGAAGGAUCCUUCAGAGAGUGGAAAAAUCAGGUGAAUGAGAACAAGUACCCUCAGGUGAAUGUGGACCACACUUGUUGAUUUUUUCUGAAUUUGAGUGGAUAACUUUUAUUCAUUUUUGUGUUACAGUUUUCACCAGAAUUGGUCCAGAAAUUGGAUGGUAAAAAGAAAACCUACACUGACAACAUUCUGGGACUGCUGCGCUUCAUACGAAACCUCCUCGAGCACUAGUAAGUUCAAAUGAGUUAAAAAUGUCAAUAAUACUGUCUUGAUAUUGGUUUUUCCACUCUCCCUGUACUUCAUUACACUUCCAACUCUGCCACAUUGAUUUUUGCCUGUGUCUACUCUUAUACUUUUCAUCCUUAUUUUGUUUUGGUUUUGGCUGAUUACAAAAUGCUUUUUAAAAAAAAACAUUUUGAAACCCAAAUCAGAUUUCUAAUUCUUCAGUCUUAAGAAAGAUCUAACAGACACAACAACCACAAAAAUAAGUCGGCAAGUUAGCAACAGCUCUAAAAUUGAGCAUUUAUUGAGGUUCACCUUAGUGAAUGGGUGUGUUUUUUUUGGGGGGCCUUCAUGUAUGAAAGUGCCUCUGGACCUACAACAAUCAGAUGAAUACAGCAUGUAAUAAAGAGCAUAGCAAUAGUAAUGUGAACAGACAGAGGCUUGCAGAUUAAAGAAACGUACUUUUCCCCGAUGAAGACUAAGUGCAGCUUUUUAUUCAUAGUGUGUUCAACUGACCAUCCAGCAACUGGAGCUACCAUCUUGAUUGUUUAUAAAUCCACAAAGGUGGUGCAGCCUUUUAAAUUCUUUGUGCAAAUUUGGCGAACAGUCAGAGAUCAAAGCCCAAACAUCAUUUCUUCAUUUACCAAAAGGUUUAGAAAUGUUGGUACAGCAGUAAUAAACAGUCUCAACUAUCCUUCAUGAUAUGCUGUGUGUCUUUAUUAUCAGUGAAGACGACGCUGCCAAACUUGAUCUGAUGUCCAUGUUUCCUGAUCUGUUUGGCUGCGUUUACAUAUUUGCCAAAAACCAAGAGUGGAAUUCAAAGCCAGCCCUGAAGAAAAUGUUCACAUCAAGAGAGUUUCUGGGAGAGGACAUCACCUCAUGAGCAGACAUGCUAACU